UUUUUUCUUUUUCCCAAGCAUCUUAUUCCUAUGAUCAUCACUUCCCAAUCUGAUGCGACUGACUCGGCAGGCAUUCAGGAGCCUGUGAGCUCCAUUUUCCUCUAUGAAAAUCUUCUGCACCUAGACAAUCGUAUUUUCCAUAUCUCUCCCACCACCCACUCCCCAAGGAUAGUGAAACCUGCUACGGGGGAUCAUCAAAGUCUGUCACAUCAUUUUCUUAAUGGCUCUGUGCGAUUAAACUCCAGAAUGAGUAACUAAUGAUCCUGGUUGUACAAGGCAUGUUCAAAACUGGAGUCCAAGUUAAAUAUGGGCGCUGGUGAGAUAGCCUCAGUG
rnacentral:lncRNA from 1 species